rnacentral:tRNA from 1 species
GGAUAUAGCUCAGUUGGUAGAGUGCUUGCCUUGUAGGCUCAAGGCCCUGGGUUCAAUACCCAGCACCA